rnacentral:rRNA from 1 species
GAUCCUGACUCAGGACGAACGCUGGCGGCGCGCCUAACACAUGCAAGUCGAACGAGCGAGAGAGAGCUUGCUUUCUCGAGCGAGUGGCGAACGGGUGAGUAACGCGUGAGGAACCUGCCUCAAAGAGGGGACGACAGUUGGAAACGACUGCUAAUACCGCAUAAGCCCACGGCUCGGCAUCGAGCAGAGGGAAAAGGAGUGAUCCGCUUUGAGAUGGCCUCGCGUCCGAUUAG